rnacentral:misc_RNA from 1 species
GGAAGUUAGUCGUACAGAGUGCAUUCCCAGCCAGUCUGAAAACAAAGCUCAAAUAUAUGAGAUGUGUUGCAUUCCCGAGGAAACUCCACACUUCACUUCUGAAAGAAGUCGUCCUACAUCUAUAGGAAACAGCGAUCCACCUGCUCUUCAUCCAACUCAGAAAAUUGGCGCAUUUAAUGUUUAUAACCCUUCUGUAACUUCAAGAAUAGUGCCAAUG